CCUACGGGAGGCAGCAGUCGAGAAUCAUUCACAAUGGGGGAAACCCUGAUGGUGCGACGCCGCGUGGGGGAAUGAAGGUCUUCGGAUUGUAAACCCCUGUCAUGUGGGAGCAAAUUAAAAAGAUAGUACCACAAGAGGAAGAGACGGCUAACUCUGGGACAGCACCCGCGGUAAUACAGAGGUCUCAAGCGUUGUGCGGAAUCACUGGGCGUAAAGCGUGGGUAGGCUGUUUCGUAAGUCGUGUGUGAAAGGCGCGGGCGUAACCCGCGGACGGCACAUUAUACUGUGAGACUAGAGUAAUUGAGGGGGAACCGGAAUUCUCUGUGUAGCAGUGAAAUGCGUAGAUAUCGAGAGGAACACUCGUGGCGAAGGCGGGUUCCUAGACAUUAACUGACGCUGAGGCACGAAGGCCAGGGGAGCGAAAGGGAUUAGAUACCCUUGUAGUC
rnacentral:rRNA from 1 species